rnacentral:tRNA from 1 species
GCGCUCGUGGCUCAAUUGGAUAGAGCAUCUGAUUACGGAUCAGAAGGUUGGGGGUUCGAGUCCCUCCGAGCGCG